rnacentral:rRNA from 1 species
UAAGGAAUAUUGGGCAAUGGACGCAAGUCUGACCCAGCCAUGCCGCGUGCAGGAUGACGGCCCUAUGGGUUGUAAACUGCUUUUGUACGGGAAGAACCCCUUCGAUUCUUCGGAGGCUGACGGUACUGUACGAAUAAGCAUCGGCUAACUCCGUGCCAGCAGCCGCGGUAAUACGGAGGAUGCAAGCGUUAUUCGGAUUUAUUGGGUUUAAAGGGUGCGCAGGCGGAAUGGUAAGUCAGUGGUGAAAUCUCCCGGCUCAACCGGGAAACUGCCGUUGAUACUGCCGUUCUAGAGUACAGUUGGGGUGGGCGGAAUGUGUCAUGUAGCGGUGAAAUGCUUAGAUAUGACACAGAACACCGAUCGCAAAGGCAGCUCUCCAAAUUGUAACUGACGCUCAUGCACGAAAGCGUGGGGA